UCAGGAAUCAAUUUAUCUUCAAUUGUCUUCAACCUAAUAAAUCAAGAUUGAAAUCAACAACCAUCUCAUUAUUCUCUUUGUUUUCGUCUCCCACUAUGCCUUCCGAUUCUGCUAAUACACCCAUUAAUUUACUCUCUCCCUAUAUCUCUGAAAACCCUAGAAAUCCGACCAUGUCAUCACCUUCUAGAGUUCUGAGUUCCAAUCGGACCAUCACAACCUUACGACCCCAUCAUUGCAUCAAAGUAUCUUCACCAUCGCAGACAUACAUCGUCGCGGCCCUACCAGGACACCCCUACCGUCGCAUAUGUGAAGCAUCAUGUUAAAAAGUCAAAUUGAUGUUGUGAAAGAACUAUUCACACACGUUGGUUUAAAUUUAUAUUGCAAUUCAUGAGCCGUAAGUGAGUUGUAACUGAUGAAACAUUGUAGUCAAGACAAUGGCAUAAUUGUGACCCGAAAAGACAUUUGCUAUAAUGAACCAUCACUUGCCCCAAAGGUUAGCCUGUGUUCAUUGCUGCUACAUAUCCUUUGAUGUGGCUUAUGUUUAGUCCUUUUACUAGCUUUUAAUCGAUGGCAAACAUGGCUUCAUGGAUUUUUUUGUAAUUCAUUUGUAUUCUGUUAUUUUUUGAAUAAAAUUUGCUGAGAGUGUGUCUCUUUCUAAAAAAAAUAUAUUGGGUUCUUGUGUAAUUAUAUUAAUUUAGUUUUUUUAUUAGUAGUUAUACUCAGCUUUUAUGUUACUAUUUGUAGUUUAUAUUCCUUUUGUUAUUAUGUAUGGUUCUUU